rnacentral:rRNA from 1 species
UACGUAGGGGGCUAGCGUUGUCCGGAAUCAUUGGGCGUAAAGCGCGUGUAGGCGGUUCGGUAAGUCCGCUGUGAAAGUCGGGGGCUCAACCCUCGGAUGCCGGUGGAUACUGUCGGGCUAGAGUACGGAAGAGGCGAGUGGAAUUCCACGUGUAGCAGUGAAAUGCGUAGAGAUGUGGAGGAACACCGAUGGCGAAGGCAGCCCCCUGGGCCGAUACUGACGCUCAGGCACGAAAGCGUGGGGAGCAAACAGG